rnacentral:rRNA from 1 species
AUGGUGACUGAAGAAUAUGACAGUAGCUAUGAUAUUGACGUUGAUGAGUUGGUCAUUUCCAUGAGGACAGAUCUGAAUCGCUUCAUGUCACAGGCCGAGGAUCGCGAAAAAGGAAACAGGUGUUGCCUGAUAUGCAAGAUAGUCCAUCGUAUUCGGCAAACUGACAUUAAUGCGUAUGAGCCGAGUGUUCUCUCAAUUGGGCCUUAUCACCAUUCAGAACUGCCACUUCUAGCAAUGGAAACAGAGAAGUGGAUAUGUCUGGAGUAUGUUCUUAAACUAAACUGUGAAGUUAGCUUGCGUGAGUACCUGAGCUUGAUCUCUGGCCUGGAGAAGGAAGCAAGAGCCUAUUACACUGAGGAGAUAAACAUGGAUAGUAGAGAAUUCAUGCAGAUGCUUCUGUUAGAUAGCUGCUUUGUUCUUGUGUACCUUGGGGGCGUGCAGGCACAAGUAGCUUCCAUAAAUGGUGAACAGUUGAAGGAAAAUGUGAUAGACGAGAGGAAGAGGGAAGCAACGGACUUGAGCCACAUGGAUGCAGUAUGCUGCGAAAGUGUGAGUGGGCACACAGCAGUUGACAUUGAACUAAAUCAAGUUGGUGAAGAGACUAAUAGCCAGAACCAGGGGAAUUACAGUGGCACUGUAGAAUGGUAUAACAGUUCUGCUGUCUAUGACCUACUUUUGCUGGAGAACCAAAUUCCCUUCUUUAUUGUCAAGAUAAUUUACCAGCUCUUCUCACGCAAUGUAGCAACCACUUCAGUGUUUACCAACAGCAUUUCUGAAUUCAUGGAAGGCAUUCUUUACCAUUUCCCCAAAGUAAUAUCUGAGGCAAAUAGGCCAGAAGAUUUUUAUCAUCUGCUACACCUGUGUCAUAAGUACCUGAAACCAAGUCACAAGCUGGACGAUGACCAUCACCGAUAUGCUGCAAAAUCUCACUGCUUCCACUUUAUGAUUGAUAUCGGACGCAUGAUAUUCACUUUUGGACGGGAGAAAAACACGAUCGAUGAGCGAAACAUGUUCCAUGAGCUAGAUUGGUCAAAUUCAGUCCAAAAGAACGGUCUCAUGGAGAUGCCAUGUUUGCCAAUAGAUGAUAAGUCUUCUUUGCUUUUCAGAAACCUUGUAGCUUUUGAGCAAACAUGUCCUCAAGUUGGGGAUGACAUCACUGCAUAUGUUGUGCUCCUGUCCCAGCUUACUAGUACGGCUGCUGAUGUUGCUCUUCUAGCUCAGAAAGGGAUUAUAGUGCACCAGUUGGAAAGCGACGAGGAUGUAUCGACUCUCUUCACCAAACUUUUUGAGUAUGUGGCAUUUGAUUUCAAUGGCGAACACUACCUGAAAUCCCUAUGCUGUGCCAUGGAAGCACACUACCAAAGUCGUAUUAACAGGUGGAUGGCGUGGCUGUGGCAUAAUCAUUUCAGUAAUCCAUGGUUUUGUGUUGUUCCGUCGCUGUUGGACCAUUUGUUACAAGAUGGAACAAGAUAA